rnacentral:rRNA from 1 species
ACGCUCGACACCUACGGGAGGUAGCAGUGAGGAAUAUUGGUCAAUGGGCGCUAGCCUGAACCAGCCAAGUAGCGUGAAGGAUGAAGGCUCUAUGGGUCGUAAACUUCUUUUAUAUAAGAAUAAAGUGCAGUAUGUAUACUGUUUUGUAUGUAUUAUAUGAAUAAGGAUCGGCUAACUCCGUGUCAGCAGCCGCGGUAAUCUGAGGCGGGCUGGCAAGGC